ACCUUCGCCAAACAAAUAGGAAACCAACACGUCUCCAAUAUUAGGGGACACAGUUAAACUCUACAAGUAUGCAGUAAGCUUCAUUUCAUUGUUGGAUUGGAGGGAGCCAAGAACAAAAGAUCAUAUUGAAAUUAUGGGAAGGUCCCCUUGUUGUGAUGAAACUACUGGUCUUAAGAAAGGUCCAUGGACCCCUGAAGAAGAUAAUAAUCUUGUCAAAUACAUCCAUGAAAAUGGCCAUGGAAGCUGGAGAGCCCUCCCCAAGCUUGCUGGUCUUAAUCGAUGUGGGAAAAGUUGCAGGCUGAGAUGGACGAAUUACUUGAGGCCUGAUAUUAAGAGAGGGAAGUUUUCCCAAGAAGAAGAACAAACGAUUCUCAAUCUCCAUUCCGUCCUUGGAAACAAAUGGUCAGCGAUUGCAAGCCACCUGCCUGGACGAACAGAUAAUGAAAUAAAGAACUUUUGGAACACUCAUUUGAAGAAGAAACUCAUCCAAAUGGGGAUCGAUCCCAUGACUCAUAGGCCUCGAACUGAUAUGAUCUCCAGUUUGCCUUAUCUCAUAGCUUUGGCCAACCUAAAAGAGCUUAUGGAUCAGCACUCAUGGGAGGAACAGGCUUUAAAGCUUCAAGCAGAAGUUGUUCAAAUGGCUAAGCUUCAAAGUUUGCAAUAUCUUCUUCAACUAACCUCAGCUUCCAUUUCAUCUAGUUCUAAUAUCAUUAAUAUGCACAAUGCUUUCAGUAUUGAUGUGGACGCCAUUAAUCUUUUAAACUCAGUUUCUCCAAUCAAGUAUUCAUCUCUGCUGGAUAUAGCAGAAGCGGCUUCUCUUCAAGGUCUCCAUGAUUCAACAAUCCCUUUCCCUCGUUUAACAGACAUACAAGUCCCGUUAGAACAUGGAACAUCUACGAAAAACGAUAUCGAGAAGCUUGAUAGUUCAUCUGUAACUCCUUCGCCAACUGUUGCAGUGAUUUUGAAACACAAUUUGGGGGUUGCUAGCUGUUCUUCAAGCUAUAAUGGAGAAGCUGAUCUUUCAGUUUGGCCUCAUGAUGAUCACUUCAUCUUUGAAGACCCUUUGUUCCAUGAGCUUUCCUAGCUUAGUCUUCUGAAUAUGUUGAUUUUAAUCUCAGGUUUGCUGUUCUCAUUCUUCAGUGCAUCUGUUUCUGCACAUAGAGUGUUAACUAAUUAAUAUUAUAUAUGUACAUUAAUUAAUGCAUCAUUACAUAUCUA